GUUGGAUUUCGGAGUGACGAUGAGCCCGCGUGCCACCGCACGUUCGGUGAUUACCGGCUUAUCCUCCUCCUCCCUCUGGUGCAGGUGAGGGGAAUCAACCGCUAGGAUCGUUUACUUUGAGGAAAUUAGUGGGAUAAUGGAAUAGGACCCCGUUCCUGUUUCCGUUGGUUUAUCAUUGGGAAUGGGGUAAUGAUUGAUAGGGAUAGUUGGGGGCAUCGAUUUUUAAUUGGCUGAUGUGAAAUUCUUGGAUUUAUGAAAGAUCGACUUCCGACAAUGCAUUUAGGAUUUACUAAAGACUGACCAAUGCGAAAGCAUUUGCCAAGGAUGUUUUCAUUAAUCAAGAACGAAAGUAGGGGGAUCGAAGACGAUCAGAUACCGUCGUAGUCUCUACCGUAAACUAUGCCGACCAGGGAUCCGGAGAGUUUGCAUGGAUGACUCCCCGGGCACCUUGUGAGAAAUCAUAAGUGUUUGGGUUUUGGGGUUUGGGUUCCGGGGGGAGUAUGGUCGCAAGGCUGACACUUAAAGGAAUUGACUGAAAGGCACCACCACGAGUGGAGCCUGCGGAUUAUUUUACCUUUACAUAGGGGAAAACUUACCAGGUCCGGACGUAGUGAGGAUUGACAGAUUGAGCCCCCUUUUUCAAAACAAA
rnacentral:rRNA from 1 species